rnacentral:rRNA from 1 species
AUGGCUCAGGAUGAACGCUAGCUACAGGCUUAACACAUGCAAGUCGAGGGGCAGCAUGUUGGUUGCUUGCAACCAAUGAUGGCGACCGGCGCACGGGUGAGUAACGCGUAUCCAACUUCCCCUUAGUAGAGGAUAGCCCGGCGAAAGUCGGAUUAAUACUCUAUGUUCUUCAAUGCGGACAUCUAAGUUGAAGCAAAGAUUUAUCGCUAAGGGAUGGGGAUGCGUCUGAUUAGGUUGCAGGCGGGGUAACGGCCCACCUGGCCUACGAUCAGUAGGGGUUCUGAGAGGAAGGUCCCCCACACUGGUACUGAGACACGGACCAGACUCCUACGGGAGGCAGCAGUGAGGAAUAUUGGUCAAUGGGCGCGAGCCUGAACCAGCCAAGUAGCGUGCCAGGACGACUGCCCUAUGGGUUGUAAACUGCUUUUAUCAGGGAAUAAAGUGAGGCACGCGUGCCUUUUUGUAUGUACCUGAUGAAUAAGGACCGGCUAAUUCCGUGCCAGCCGCCGC